rnacentral:rRNA from 1 species
CGAAGGUCCCCGGCUCCGGGGGCCUGGCAGACGGCUCAGUAACACGUGGCCAACCUGCCCUCGGGAGGGAGAUAACCCCUUGGGAAACUGGGGUUAAACCUCCAUAAGCGGCGGAAUCUGGAAGGAUCCGCCGCCGAAAGUGGUGUACGGGGAUGCUCCGUGCACCAGCCCGAGGAUGGGGCUGCGGCCCAUCAGGUUGUUGGCGGGGUAAUGGCCCGCCAAGCCUAUAACGGGUACGGGCCCUGGGAGGGGGAGCCCGGAGAUGGGCUCUGAGACAAGAGCCCAGGCCCUACGGGGCGCAGCAGGCGCGAAACCUCCCCAAUGCCCGAAAGGGUGAGGGGGUCACCCCGAGUGCCGGCUUCGUGCCGGCUUUUGCCGGGUCUAAACAGCCCGGCGAAUAAGGGGGGGGCAAGACGGGUGUCAGCCGCCGCGGUAAUACCCGCCCCCCGAGUGGUGGGGACUAUUACUGGGCUUAAAGCGCCCGUAGCCGGCCGGGUAUGUCCUCCGUUAAAUCCACGGGCCUAACCCGUGGGCUGCGGAGGAUACUACCCGGCUUGGGGGUGGGAGAGGGCGGCGGUAUUCCCGGGGUAGGGGUAAAAUCCACUGAUCCCGGGAGGACCACCAGUGGCGAAGGCGGCCGCCCAGAACACGCCCGACGGUGAGGGGCGAAAGCUGGGGGAGCGAACGGGAUUAGAUACCCCGGUAGUCCCAGCUGUAAACAAUGCGGGCUAGGUGUCGGGUGGGCUACGGGCUCACCCGG